rnacentral:lncRNA from 1 species
UAAAACUUUCAUGAAUUGACCAAAUUCGGAAUCUAUAGGUAAGAUGAUGAAAAUGGCAAGUGAACUUAAACUGGAUACAGUGGUAGUACAUCCGGAACAGAGUUUAUUGAGUAUACCAUAACUAAUUAUGUACUCAGUAAAAUUUGUUAAGACUAGUGCCAAAUGAAUUUUAAGAAGUAUACCUAAAACUUUUUAGAAGACACUUAAGCUUGAAUUUGUAUGGAAAUGCAUGAAUCUGAUAAGUUUUGUGAUACUAUAAACAAGUACCAAGACUGGACUGAUUAAAACCUUAUUGAGCAGCUUGUAAAGAAAAAUUCAUAACUUAAGUUAGGAUGAUCAGAUUUUCAUGAACCAUACCUUGUUGGAAAGAUAAGACAUAAAUGUACAUUUCUUAUGAAGAAACUGAAGUCAAAUUGUAACUCUAAACUGCUUGAAAAGUUUAUGCAAUAUAUGGCAGAAUGUAGUUUUCUAUAUUGAAAUGCUAAGUCAAUAAAGUUUUGCACUAUUUGCCAUGAGUUUUCCAUAUUGUAAACCUUGGCAUAUGAUAUAUGUACUUUGGAAAAAGAAAUCAAAUAGCUUCAAAUGACAUGCAUUUACAUUGAUACAUUGAGUUAAUGAUACUUGGCCCUGGUAAACGUAAUAGGAGUCGAGGUUAGCUUAAGGGUAUGGCAUGCCAUAUAAACAUACAGAGUUCGCAGUACUGCUACCGAUACAUGAUCUAUAUUUGAGGUUACUUAUCAGGUACCUCAUAAGCAUGGCCACAAAGCCCUGCUAUCACAGUUUUGGCCUCUGAGCCUACCGUUCAGCACUC